CUCGGCUCUUGGUUCUUUGCUGACGAAUUUGGCCACAAAGAGUUGCCAAGAUAGCUGGGCUGGGAAGAAAGCGCCGCAGCCCUGACCCAGACGCUGUUGCCGACUCUGGGCCACUCUGGCUGGCUACCAAGUGGCUCAAGAUGUCUGCAGGGGCCAGUGCUACAGGCCCCAGGAGGGGGCCUCCAGGGCUGGAGGAGGCCACUAGUAAGAAGAAACAGAAGGAUCCAGCAAACCUGGAAAGUAAAGAUGGAGAUGCUAGGAGAGUGUCCCUUCCUCGAAAGGAGCCAACCAUGGAUGAAUUGUUGCUCGAUUGGAGGCAGAGUGCAGAUGAGGUGAUUGUUAAGCUGCACGUGGGAACGGGUCCCGUACAUCUGGAGGAUGUAAAUGCUGCGUUCACAGACACGGACUGUGUGGUGAGGCUUCCAGAUGGUCGGCAGUGGGGUGGCAUCUUCUUUGCUGAAAUACAGAGUUCCUGCACCAAAGUGCAGGAUCGCAAGGGUGGCCUUCUACAGCUAGUACUACCCAAGAAGGUGCCUCUGCUCACGUGGCCCUCUCUCCUGAAGAAACCACUGGGGACCCAAGAGCUGGUGCCAGGUUUGCAGUGCAAGGAGAACAGGCAAGAGCUGUCUCCCAUUGCCCUGGAGCCAGGCUCUGAGCCCCGCAGAGCUAAACAGGAAGCCCAAAACCAGAAGUGGGCCCAGGGCCGUGGUGAGGUAGGCUCGGGGGCUAGCCCUGGGGCACAGGCAGGGCCCAGUGCCAAGAGGGCUGUUCAUCUCUGCAGAGGGCCAGAAGGGGAAGGGUCCAUGGAUGGCCCCAGCCCCCAGGGUGAUGCCCCGUCUUUCCUGUCUGACUCAGCUACCCAGGUUGAGGCUGAGGAGAAGCUCUGUGCUCCACCAAUGAACACUCAAACAAGUCUCUUGAGCUCAGAGAAGAGUUUAGCCCUUCUGACGGUAGAGAAGACAGUGUCCCCCAGGAGUGACUCAGUCGCUCCGGUUAUGGUCCGGAACAGAGACCCUGAGAAAGAAGACCAAGUCAAAGAGGAGAUGGCAAUGAGAAAUGAUUCAUUCAUUGUGGACCUGUUUCAGGGCCAAUACAAGUCAAAGCUGGUGUGCCCUGUGUGUGCCAAGGUCUCCAUCACUUUUGACCCGUUCCUUUAUCUGCCGGUACCCUUGCCACAAAAGCAAAAGGUUCUCCCCAUAUUUUAUUUUGCCAGGGAGCCCCACAGCAAACCCAUCAAGUUCCUGGUGAGUGUUAGCAAGGAGAACUCCAGCGCAAGUGAAGUGUUGGACUCCCUCUCUCAGAGUGUCCACGGGAAGCCUGAGAACCUGCGCCUAGCCGAGGUAAUUAAGAACCGUUUCCACCGUGUUUUCUUGCCCUCCCACUCACUGGACGCUGUGUCCCCCACGGACGUGCUCCUCUGCUUUGAGCUGCUCUCCCCGGAACUGGCUAAGGAGCGGGUAGUAGUGCUGGAGGUGCAGCAGCGCCCCCAGGUACCCAGCAUCCCUAUCUCCAAGUGCGCAGCCUGCCAGCGGAAGCAGCAGUCAGAAGAUGAAAAGCUGAAGCGCUGUACCCAUUGCUACCGUGUGGGCUACUGCAACCAGUUCUGCCAGAAAACCCAUUGGCCUGACCACAAAGGCCUCUGCCGCCCUGAGAACAUUGGCUACUCCUUCCUGGUCAGUGUGCCUGCUUCACGCCUCACUUAUGCCCGUCUUGCUCAGCUACUAGAAUGUUAUGCCCGGUACUCUGUGAGUGUAUUCCAGCCGCCCUUCCAGCCUGGCCACAUGGCUUUGGAAUCGCAGAGCCCUGGUUGUACCACGUUGCUUUCAACCAGCUCUCUGGAGGCUGGGGACAGUGAAAGAGAACCCAUUCAGCAUUCUGAGCUCCAGUUGGUGACCCCUGUGGCUGAGGGGCAUACAGGGGCUCACCGAGUAUGGCCGCCUGCUGAUAGGGGUCCUGUGCCUAGCACCAGUGGACUUUCUUCUGAGAUGCUGGCCAGUGGGCCUAUCGAAGGUUGUUCCUUGCUUGCUGGUGAGAGGGUAUCUUGGCCUGAAGCUGCUGUGCCCGGGUACCAACACUCAAGUGAAUCUGUGAAUACCCACACACCCCAGUUCUUCAUCUAUAAAACUGAUGCAUCAAACAGUGAGCAGCAGCUUGAGGACAAAGGGGAGACACCAUUGGAGCUAGGUGAUGAUUGUAGCCUGGCUCUGGUGUGGCGGAACAAUGAACGCCUGCAGGAGUUUGUGUUGGUAGCCUCCGAGGAGCUAGAAUGUGCUGAAGAUCCUGGCUCUGCUGGUGAGGUUGCCCGUGCUGGCCACUUCACCCUGGACCAGUGCCUCAACCUCUUUACACGACCUGAAGUGCUGGCACUUGAGGAGGCCUGGUACUGCCAACAGUGCAAACAGCAUCGUGAGGCCUCCAAACAGCUGCUGUUGUGGCGCCUACCGAACGUGCUCAUUGUGCAGCUCAAGCGCUUCUCCUUUCGUAGUUUCAUUUGGUGAGACAAGAUCAAUGACUUGGUGGAGUUUCCUGUUCGGAACCUGGACUUGAGCAAGUUCUGUAUCGGUCAGAAAGAGGAGCAGCUGCCUAGCUAUGACCUGUAUGCUGUCAUCAACCACUAUGGAGGCAUGAUCGGUGGCCACUAUACUGCUUGUGCACGGCUGCCCAAUGAUCGCAGUAGCCAGCGCAGUGACGUGGGCUGGCACUUGUUUGAUGACAGCACGGUGACAACAGUAGACGAAAGCCAGGUCGUGACGCGCUAUGCCUAUGUUCUCUUCUACCAUCGUUGGAACUCUCCUGUGGAGAGACCCCCCAGGGCAGGUCACUCUGAACACCACCCAGACCUAGGCCCUGCAGCUGAGGCUGCUACCAGCCAGGGACUAGGCCCUGGCCAGGCCCCCGAGGUGGCCCCCACGCGGACAGCCCCUGAACGCUUCGCCCCCCCAACCCCUGUGGACCGCCCAGCCCCACGUACAGCAACAUGCAGGAGGUCGAUUAG